rnacentral:snoRNA from 1 species
AAACCACGAUGAGGACAACGUCGAAGUAAUUCUUUGUAUCUUUUCCAAGCCUCAUACAAUGAUUUAGAAUCUUAUUACAUGAAUGAUGUGAUAUCAUUCCUCAUUUU